GAUGAACGCUAGCGAUAGGCUUGACACAUGCAAGUCGAGGGGCAGCAUUAUUUUAGCUUGCUAAGAUAGAUGGCGACCGGCGCACUGGUGCGUAACGCGUAUGCAACCUGCCUGUAAUUAGGGAAUAACCCGGUGAAAGUCGGAUUAAUACCCUAUAUUCUUCUUUCUCCGCAUGGAGGAGGACGGAAAGAUUUAUUGAUUACAGAUGGGCAUGCGUCCCAUUAGCUAGUUGGUAAGGUAACGGCUUACCAAGGCAACGAUGGGUAGGGGGACUGAGAGGUUGACCCCCCACACUGGUACUGAGACACGGACCAGACUCCUACGGGAGGCAGCAGUGAGGAAUAUUGGUCAAUGGGCGAGAGCCUGAACCAGCCAAGUCGCGUGAAGGACGACGGUUCUAUGGAUGUGUAAACUUCUUUUGUAGAGGAAUAAUGGCAGCUACGCGUGAGCUGAGAUGCAUGUACUCUACGAAUAAGUAUCGGCUAACUCCGUGCCAGCAGCCGCGGUAAUACGGAGGAUACGAGCGUUAUCCGGAAUUAUUGGGUCUUAAAGGGUGCGUAGGUGGCGUAUUAAGUCAGUGGUGAAAAGCUGCAGCUCAACUGUAGUCUUGCCGUUGAAACUGAUAUGCUAGAGAGGAGACGAGGUAUGCGGAAUGUGUGGUGUAGCGGUGAAAUGCAUAGGAUAUCAGCACAGAACGCCGAUUGCGAAGGCAGCGUACCAGGCUCCGUCUGACACUGAAGCACGAAAGCGUGGGGAUCAAACAGGAUUAGAUACCCUGGUAGUCCACGCAGUAAGCGAUGAAUACUAGCAUUUUUGCGAUAUAGUGUAAGAGUCUAAGCGAAAGCGAUAAGUAUUCCACCUGGGGAGUACGCCGGCAACGGUGAAACUCAAAGGAAUUGACGGGGGCCCGCACAAGCGGAUGAACAUGUGGUUUAAUGCGAUGAUAUGCGAUGGAACCUGACCCGGGAAUUGACAUCGAG
rnacentral:rRNA from 1 species